UUAUUACACAAGUCAAGACUCUCGAAUGAAUGUUAUAAUUUGAUUUUCUGUAUAACCAUUUGUUUCCAAUACUUCUACUUGCACCUCUAUGCUUUGUUAAACUUUUUUUCCCCCACUAUAAACAAGUCAGGGUGCUGUGAGUUAAGCAGAGCAGUGAUCUGAGGUAUACUGCUUCUUUGGAAGCAGUGGAUUAGUGAAAACAGAGUGUGUAGUUGAACUAGGGGUUCAACAUUCCAGGGAGAUGCUUAGGGGGCUCAAGAGUUGGAGUGUAUCUAUUGCUAACCUGUAGAGUAACAGCAGUCCUAUGAGGGCUAGAAGGGAGUACUUGUAUUGCCUGAGGCUGAUGGAGUUGGGGAGCUGACCACAGCAGGAACAGACAAGGCUUCCUCAAGCUAAGGGCAGGUGGUAAGGAAGUGCCUCAUGUUGUUCCAGCAUUCAAUAAUGUCUCUGAAAUAGCAAUUAAAGUAUGUUAUACUGAGACAGGAAGUGUUAGCCAGGAUAUGGGGUUUAUUCCCCGUUUUCUUAGUGAAGUAUUCAAUCCAAUAUUUAGAUGCAAAUGUCUAGCUUCCUAAAGUUUGGGACAAGUUUUAGACACUGAGUUUUGGCUUCUCCCCAUAUAAAGACCAGAGAGAGAUUUGGAAAAUUUGAAUCAAACUCUGUUUGGUUUUCAAACAUCUCAAAAAUAUAAAGGGGAUAUGGAUCCAGGAGCUUACGUCAAGGCUCCUUUGUUAUAUGGCUCACCAAGGGAUCUUUAACUUCCACCUAGACAGCUAUCAGAGAUGGACAGAGAGGAACUCAGUUUAGUAUCUUACUUGAAAGUCUGAACAACUAACAGUGCACUCCAUUGCACUACAGAAGAGCUUUGCAUGUUUUCCACAUAAUUUAUACUUGAGGCCAAAAUUUUAAAGUGCAUAUACCACAUUUGAACAUGCAAAUGUCUGUUUGCAUGUAUAGAAUGGAUUGUCAACUGCUUGAGUGCAUAUUGAAUAUUGGUAUUGCCAAUCACACUUGUAAUCAUUCAAAUGCAGAAUUCGUAGACAUCAGGUCUAGAGAAUUUUACUUCCUGCUUGAGUAAAUUGUUUGUGUACAUUCAAUUAUAAUAAUUAAUUUGGACCAAGAUAAGGUCCACACUGCCAAGAUUUAGGAAUACAGUACAGACCUUGUGAUUGGUUUCAUUUAAUAAUUUUUGAUAGAAAGCCCACACAAAUCCACUAAUCACCCAAAAGAUUUCUUAGGGCACAGUAGUAAUACAUAAAUUCAUUAUGGGAAUGCUUGGUAAAGUGUCUCAGCUCACCUUGGACAACUUCAACAAUUACUGAAAUAAACAGAACCAGAAAGAGGACAGUAGUUGGUAUUUGGAAAGGGGAUACUCAUAAUUACAUACUCUAGUUAUGUCUUUCUAACAUAAUAGUGAAAAUACAGCAGUACUUGGUAGCUCAGAGCAUAAAUAGAUGAGUGGUAGGAAGCUGAUCAGAAUCUUGAGUUUUAUAAACAGCAAAUCUAUUUGGUAUAAUCUGGGGGGGGAAGAAUAAUCAAUCAAUCAAUCAAUCAAUCAAUCAAUCUCCUUCUAUAAAUGUCCAAAAGCCAAAGCUAUUACAACAAACAAGAAAUGCAUCCCAGCAAGCCUCAUGCUUGAUGUAUUUGCCUUGAAGCACCUGCAUUACUCUAACUGUCUGGGCUUCAUAAUUAAUCAGAACUGUUGGAACAUAUCAAAACCCCAAGCUUUAGCUUCCGCUGACUUUGAUAUAGCUAACCUGCAACUCAGGAAACACAAAGAUGGACAGCAGAGUAUUGGUAAGCAGUUGUGUAUUAGAUGAUCACUUGCAAUUUUGGAGGACAUUCCAUUUACUAGCCCAAAAUACAUGGUUGUGCAAGUGCAAACAUAAAAAGCAGACAAUCAUUUGAGAUUCUAGAAAGCUCUUUGCUUUUGUUCACUAAUGUAAAACAGGACAUUGAAAUAAGAAAAUGAGAAAUAAUAACUGUAUUGGUUCAGUAGGCAAAACAAUAAAACAUGAAAAUAACUGUUCUUUAACUUUGGCCUCAGACACUAUGUAUGGACAGGUUUCAGAGUAGCAGCCAUGUUAGUCUGUUCUGCAAAAAGAAAAAAGGAGUACUUGUGGCACCUUAGAGACUACAAAUUUAUUUGAGCAUAAGCUUUCGAGAGCUACAGAUCACUUCAUCAGAUGCAUAGUAACUCUGUAGCGUAGACCACAGCUUAGAGCAGUGGUUCUCAACCUGCAGCUCAAAUCAGCACACAGCUGUGGUCCAUGUGACAUCCUCAGGGCCAUACAGGUAGUAUAUAUACACACCCUGUGGAUGGGGCCCACAUAACACAGAAAGCUGCAUAUGCAGCUUACAAUGGUAAAUAGGUUUAGAAUGUCAUGGCUAAAUACAAGAUGGACCAGAUUGUUAAACAUAUGAAGUUCAUUUUGAAUGGUUUCUUGUACUAUGUGUUAAGUGGGCAGUUAAUAGUUUCUGCAGUCAUAGGACAAAGGAGGGUAAGUGGGUUACAGACCUUUCUAAUGAGCUAUAAAUCCAACGUUUUUACGGUCUGAUUUUUAGUAUCUAACAAGGUUAUGAUUUAAGGUCCCAGGCUCAUCUUUUGAAAGUGUUGUGCAUUUCCUUUGAGGAUGAGGAUUGGGGAAGUCAGCUAUGGUGUUAUGGAGGAGAGGGUGUUGAUCAUCCUAGCCGUAGACAUCUCUCUCUAUAGGUCCAAAAACUACCUCAGGCAUACCAAGAAAUCUUAUUUACAGCCAGGUACUCAGAUACCACAGAACAUGCUCCAAAGAGAAAGUCCUUAAAAUCACCUUCAGCAAACAAGGACACCACCAGAGAAGUAGAUCACAUCAUGGAAUGGGCCACCCAAGUAUCCCGAGAGUAUUAAUAUGGCGCGCACACACACACACACAAAAAACAAACAAGAAAGCCUCCAACUGCACACCCCUUGUUGUCACCUACCACCCCGCACUGCAACCCAAAAGGGAUAUCAUUGAACAAUUACAACCCAUACUCAAUGGGGACCACCUCCUGAAAGAAAUCUUUCCUGAACUCCCUCCUUUUCUGGCUUUGAAACAACUCCUGAACACUGGAGCUUAUUCCGAUGAUGAGCUUGUCCACAGACCAGGAUACACCAACUCAAAGCAGCACUGAAGCCUAUCCUAACAAAAGCAGCAAAACCUACAGACAUAUCUCCACUGCUAUGAUGAUCAAUAUCCCUUCACAAUACACCUUUCAAGAUCCAUGGGUCCUAUACAUGUCUAUCACCACAUGUGCCAUCAUCAUCCAGUGCACUAAAUUCCCCAAAAGCAUGGGUGUAACCGGACAAUGGCUGUAUUUUCAAAUGAACACAGAAAAAUGAUAAAAGACAAAAACACCAUGUGACCCAGGAGCAAACAAUUUUCACCAAAAUCACUCCAUAUCAGACCUCUCAGGCCUCAUUCCCAAAGGAAAUCUGAGCACAACCUUCAAAAAACCAGCCUAAAUUCAUAAUUUUGCUAGAUAAUAAAAAUCAUGGACUCAGUAAAAAUACUGGAUUUAUGGCUCAUUAUAAUGAUCUGUAAUCCACUAACCUCCUCUAUUUGUCCUAUAACUGCAGCAGUAUUAAUUGACCACUUCACCUUGAAUGAUCUCUUGCAAUAUGUGUUAAUGCCAGUUGUAUCAUGGCAGCAGACAGUACAGUAGGUCUGCAAACCAUGGUCAUUGAACAACCGCUUCCGCUGCCAUUCUGCUCUCCUGGUAGUCUUGCAGGGUCGCUUCCGUGGCAACUCUGCUCAGCUGCUCUUGUCUCGCCAUACCAUGGCAAGUGUUUUUUUCGCCUUCUUGUCUGUGCUAGCCUCUGGGACAGAGAUGCUAGUCUCAGCAUUGAAAUAUUUGCAGCUGUGGGAGGGAAAAAAAAGAAAAGAGAUUGGCCAUUUAAAAGGAGGGGCUGAUGUUUUCGGGUUAACGUGCAGCACAAACCUGACUAACACCCCCCCCCCACACACACACACACACACACACCACCAAUUCUCUGGGAUGAUCGCUUCAUCCCUCCCCCUACCGUGUGGCUAACGGCGGGGAUGAUUUCUUUUCAGUCAUAGGCAAACAGCCCAGCAGGAACGGCCACCUCUGAUGUCUUCUUAAUAAAAUUCCCCUACCAACAUGGUCAACCAGGUGACCAUGAAUGAUAUCACUCUCCUGAGGAGAGCACAGAGAGAGAAAGAACGGAUGUUGCUUGAAUGCCAGCAAACACCGGGACCGCACGCUGCCAUGCUUUCUUAUGUAACGAUUCCAGACUAUGUGCUACUGGCCUGCCGUGGUAAAGCAUCCUACCAUGGAGGAUGCAAUAAGGCUGCCCUCCCCAGAAGCCUUUUGCAGAGGCUUUGGGAGUACCUCCAGGACAGCUUCAUUGAGAUGUCCCUGGAGGAUUUCCGCUCCAUUCCCAGACACAUUAACACUUUUCCAGUAGCUGUACUAGCUGCGAAUGCAUCCCAGGGCAUUCUUCAGGGCAAAAAUCAAUCAUUAAAACACAUUUGCUUUUAAACUAUGUAUUACAUUUACAAAAAUGUACCAUAAGGUGAGGGAGGCAAACCAUCACUCUGGUGCUGCAUCUAAGACUUGCCAGUUCUAUAAGGAGCUGGACGCUAUCCUCGCUGGUGACCCCAGCUCCACUGCCAAGAACCCCAUGGAUACUUGGUGGGCGUGGAGGCAGCAGAAAGAGGACCUAACCUGGAGGGUGAAGUCAUUGAUGAAGAGGUGGAGUUGACUAUGAUAUGGAGCUCCCAGUGGGGCAGGCAGCCAGGAACUGUUCACCACUAUGGAGGCGUCUAGCUAGUCUCAGUGGCUGCUCUCUGGGGAGCAAGAAGCAGGAGAGGAGAUGCCUGAUGUGGCUUUCAGGAACACCCCAGACAGCAGCCGAGCGUCUCCACCAGAUAAGAAAGUGCCCAAGACACAGCAAAGA